CUUAGGCUGGAGGGGAGAGCCUGGCCACCUUGGCCUACAAUCCUCGGCAAGAAGUCAGCGGGAAAGAGACCUGAGCUCAUUUCGUUCCUGGGCCAGAGUGAGCACUAUCUGGAUUUCUCAAUUUUGGAAAGAGAAACCUGAAGCAGUCCUGAUCUAAGGGAUAUAGAGCCAUCUUCCCUGGGUCCUUGGGGAGUCUCAGAGCCCUGAGAACAAAUAGCUUAGAUAGCCAUGACUCAGCAGAGCAGCAGCUCGCCCCUCACAAUGUCAGCAGUCCAUGCGACUUGGAAAAGGACGCUGGGGCUACAUUUCUGUGGCCUCCCUCAGCUGAGAAGCCAGAGCUGACCCAGCCCUUAGCAGGCCAGAGCUCCCCAUUGGCAGAGACGUCUGAGUAGGGAGAUUCUAUUUCUGGCUUCUUGAUAAGGCUUGGGGGAGUGGGUGUUACAGAAAGGUGGAAGCAGAGAGGUGAAGGCCCACAACGACCAAAAGGCAUAGUGCAGAAGGGCCUGAUGAUGGGGGAGAAAUUUUUCAGUAAUUUCUGUAAAUGCAAUGCAUUUUUCAGAAAGUUAAGAUUUUAGCCAUUUGGUACACUUGCCACCAUCUGGCAGCUGGAAGCAGGAUCAAUUCCAAAAUCCGGCCCAUGGCACGCCACAGGAAAACUAGAACCGCUCCUGGAUGCUGGGUUCAUAGUAUCCCUUACUUUGUACCAGCACUGAACACGUGCUCUCCAUGUGCCGCUACAUUUAGUCCACACCAACCCCUCCAGAUCCGAGGUCAGGGGGAUCAGGGUCUGCGUGUGUGUUGCCAGGAGGUGCUGAGAAGUUGGGGGAGUGACGUGUAAUCUUCUCCCCUUCCCUCAGUGGGGUAGGUAUGCCCAGAACUAUCCUCAUGUGUACAUGUCUUCAGAGUUAAACAAUUGUCACAGUCUACUUACCUACAUGGAUCUAUGAAAUACCUUUUCACAGAAAACAAAGAAGUGACUUUCCUUCCACUGAUUGCCAUAUGGGCCACUUCCUGAACCUGAAAGAGAUGCCGUACCCCGAACACCAGGUCCUCAGCUCUAGCAAAUACAGGAGGGACAAGUUUCAGCCUCCGGCUGUCAGGGAGCAGCAAAUACAGAGGUGGGACCAGACCAGGCUCAUGGGAGUUUGUUCAUCAUUUCAUAGCCAUAUUAUGACCCAGUCUGAGAGGGCUGGAGAGUAAUUUCCAAGCCCUUAGGAAGUAGAUAGUCUAAGCCAUUGUUUUUGGGUUUUACGUGCUCUUGUGGUCAAUUCCUUUUUCUUCCUUUUUUUGAAAGGCAAACAAAUAGCCUAACAGCAAUAACAGUCAACAGGAUGGUGGCACAUCCGGGUUCAGACUCCAGCCUCCUCUUGCUGUAGUCAAAGUUAAUUAAUUCCCACUAAGCUUUGAACUAGGUUCCCUGCAGGUCUGUGCUGGGCCCUGCCCUGGCUGUCAGGGGAGGGCAUGGCUGGUUUGGCUCUGGGUGUGCUGUCCUGCGCAGGGGGAUGGAGAAGGGGGUAUGUUUCACCUUUGCAUGGGAUUGCCUCUCCUCUUCUCCUCCCGGGAGGUGACCAUUUUCAGAUCUGUGGGUGGGGAGGAAAAUCUUCUCUUCCAAAAAUAAUCUCUUUCUGCAGUGGGGUUUGAAGCUGGACCAAGCUGCUAGCGCUAUUUUUACCCAGCUUGCAGUUCAGGGUGUAAAUAGCAACUCUGGCUGUUUUUUCCCACAGCUGACAACAGAGUCGACCUCUUUGAGGCAGAAGCAUUCUGGCGUUUUGCACAGAGGAAACAGAACCAAAGUUGCCCUCGGGCCAAGGGGCUGACUCCUUGACCACUGGGUCAGUAUACAAACAGGGGUGGCAUCUCCAUGGUUGUGUUAUCUCAGUCUCUGCGGUAAACACCAGGCCCCAUGAUGGCUGCUUUGCUGAGGCUGAUUCAAAGAAGCACAGUGUGGAAUCACGAGGAGAAGGCAGGCCCAUAAAUCUCUGCCUGAGCACACUGAGGGUUUCAGGAGCUUGAGCAGCUCUGGACUCCAGCUGGCUGUCCCCCUUGCCCUCCCUCGUGCAUUAGCAAGCACUUCUUCCAAGGUUGCCACCCUUGGAGGGUUUCUUGCCCCAACCUCACCAGAUCAGGAGCUGAGGAAUGAGAGAAAAAACAACCAUUUGAGGCUGCCCAGAUGACAGAAUGUCCCUAAAAACAUGUACCUCCUUGCACUCAAGUGAUUGGAGCCCCCACAGUCUGCGGUAUUAGAAAGUGUCAUUUCGAGGGCGUGGUGAGAGGACUGGCUCCCUCCAGGCCACUCAUGAGCGGAAGCUGUGAGAAACUAACCAAAUCCUGGAGUUAUGUCUCCAAUUGGCCUGGGUGAGGUGGGAAGUUCAGCCUCAGAGAGGGCCCCUCGUUGAUACAGUUGAUGAGCAAGAUGAAUCAGCAAAGACUGAGACGUGCCCAUCACACUUGGCAAUUCCCUAUUGCUUCUCCUCUGGGGAGCAAACAGACUUUAGUGGCUUUUCUCUGAGGCCAAGUUUCUUACCCAAAUCUUUCCCUGGGGUCUUUGGUCUGAAAUUAGAAAGGAGUUAGGAGUCAGCAGGAAAAUCACUCUUCAUUAUGAAUUACACAGCAACUCUUCAUGGAACUGCCCGUCUCCUUCCUCUAGGUACACAUCGAUCAUCAUCAAUCAAUCCGAGAAUUUCUCAAAUAUCCACCACAGACUCAGAAAUGGGCAUUUAGGCACAUGGUUCAAGUUUCAGUUUCUUCCAGCAGAUGACAUGUGGGGUAAGAAAAGGACUGGAGGACAGAUAAGUAGCUGAGCAAUCCCCAGAUCUGCUUUUUUGAGACUGGUUUCAGUGCAGCUCCUUGGAAUUGAUUCUGGGCAGCUGUUAAUUGCAAAACUCACUGCCAAUUAUCGAUAGCUAAAGUGGCAUUGGAGAGCUGCUGAUGGUAAAAAUAGGGGCAGGUAAUAAUGAGAAAAUAGCUUUGCAUUUAGAACAGAGGAUGGGAACAUAUUGUCUCCAACUGCUGUGUCGUGGGUUUCCAUUGUUAACUUGAGUUCUCUCCCAGGACCAGCCAGCAAAGCCUACUUAGUGACCUCCAGCAAAAAGUCCACCAGUGAGCUGCGCAGGAUGAGAUCAAAGCUUUGUCUCGGCAGCCAGACCAGAGGAGAUCCUGGUUCUCACUAUGCUCAGAGUCACAUUAAACAAACAAUACCACAGUUUUCACUAAAACCCGUUGAAUUUUAAAUGUACUGUUGACUAAAUUAGGGAGUUAUCGUUCAGUUGAUCUGGUAAUCCAUUUGUCCACCAAACUUCAGAUUUACAAACAAUGGUUUUCUGGGAAAGCCUCUUGAAGCCUGGAUGGUAAAUGUUUACCUUAAAAAAGCAAAAACUGAAGAAGGCAAAAGUGGCCUGGUGAGUAAAACCAAAAGCCUGCAGCAGACGGUCACGUUGCUGGACUGACUGUUUGUUUUGAAAAAUGUUCCCAUUCCGAGCCUUGACAUUGGGGAAAUUAGGAACAUGGUAACCGACUUCCUGUCUAGUAUUUCCCUGGAUUUCCUGGAAUCCAAUUUGAAGUGUCGUUUUCCCCUGAACCACCAAGGAGUUAAACUUUGGCUCUGUUCUCCCAGUGACUAAUAGGCACCGUGUGGCUCUGAGAUCAGCGAGAAAGAAACUGACAGUCGGCGUGGGAAGUGUGCGAGAUUUCAGUGCUCUUGAAAUGCCUUUGAUGGGCAUGGUGAGCGAGCACAAGGAUUAUUGCCACCUAGAGCCCCUGAUUGUGUAAUUUGAUCUUGAAUUCUUGUUUCUCUCUUUGAAUUUUGCUUGAUUUUAAAGGAGGAUCUCGGACUCCUUUGGGGGCUUGAUAUGACUGCAGUGUGUGAGUUAUUCCACGGAGAAUGAUAUUUUAGGCAACAAACUAAUUCCACCACUUUGAAAAACAACCCACUUUGGUUGAAAACAAAGCAGAAUCAAGUGACCUGACCAAAUGGCACUUGACGUGUGUUAGGAAGACUUGUCUUCCCGCUCUUGCUGUUUUCUUUCUUGUGAGAGGAGCCCAAUUAGCAUAACACUCCUGGCUUCUCACCACCCUCCCCCACCCCCAUUCUUCCCUGGGAAGGAGGAGUGGUUUAAGAUGACUGAUGAGUUUGGAAGGAGAAACUAUGCCUCAUACCAUCUUCUCUUCCUUUCUUCUUGGGAGUCAACACUCCUCCCGCAGGGUGGAAAGGAGAGGCCCAUUCUGGCCCAGCUGCCUAUUGCUGAGUGUCCACGUAUGAUUUUGAGCCCAAGUGUCAGGAAGCUCAUUGGCCUGAGAAUGUAAGCCACAUUCUCUAAUAUCAGCCUUAUUAGUAAUAAAGGUUAUUUUCGGUCCUCAUCUAGCUUACUGCUAUCUUACUUCUGAUUCACUUCAAAACUCGCAGAAAAGGGGAGGCGACUGCUAUUUUGAGGCCUCCUCGAAGACCCCAACAUAUUUACCAGGCGGCUUCCUGGUGGUUAGAAAAAGCCUUGUGUUGGGAUGAAACCCUGGCUUCUAGAUCCACAUCACUACUUUCUUAUAGGACAACAGGUUCUUUAGUUGUCAAAUGAGUAAAGGGGAGUUUACAGAAGGUGUUCCUUCCAGCUGAAAUGUAUCCAUUCAAAACUUAUUUAUUGAAUGCCUACUAUGUGCCAGGGAGUACAACGGUGAUCAAGAGAGACAGUCUCUGCUGCCACACAGUUUAUAAUCUAACUAGGGUGCAUCAAUUAGAAAGUUUAAUGUUCCAAGUGAAAUGAAACCAUCUCAAACAGGCUGAAGCAAUAAGGAAAAUUUAUUGGCUCACUGGGGAUCCAGGCACGAUUUGAUCCAGGACUCAAACAACAGGGAUCCAUUUCUUGGCUCUGCUUCCUCUGGGUGGGAUUCAUUCUUUUGUCACCAUAUGAUGCAACCCCUCCUCUCUCCUGGCAGCUCCACACUUUCCACUAUGACUGCAGGAGAAAUGAGAUGUACCAUUUACCAGGCUGAGAAGAGUCCAAGUGCCAACAUUCCCUACAGACUCCUGAGGUCCACUCUGAUUAGACCAUUUCAGGGCACAGGCCUCCCCUAAAGCGAUGACCGAGCUCAGAGUGAUAGAUACACUGAUGGGCUCAAACCCAGUGGGGUCCAUCCCUGGAUGGAGGAAAGUUGGGCCCUCCCUAUAUGGCUCAGAAAUUUAGAAAUCUAUUAGGAAGAGAGAGGGGGCAGCAACCAGUAACUGUCCACGAUAGAAAGACAAUAAAUAAAAUGAGAAUUUUGCUUUGAGGGAACAAUUCAGCCUGUAGAAAAUGCAGGAAUCCCUUUUUCCCUGGUGAGUCUAGCACAGGCCUGGGAAUCCAGAGAAUUGGCUUCCAAAUCCUGUGCAGGGCCCCUAUACACAACAGGCCCUCAGGAAAGUUCUGGAGGUUGACAGACUUUGCUCCUUGAUCUCACCUCUCUGGAACUGCCCUUGGGUUGGAUUCUCCUGCUCUGUGAUCCCUUUUCUUUUUUUGGAAAGGAGGAUAACAUGUACCUGAGAGGGACACUAAAAGGAUAACUGAGGUGACAUCCACAAAGCAUCUGUCACUAAAUAAACCCAAGCUAUCUAUUGACCUGUGCUUGUGAUUCUUUCAGAUUUAAGGACAUUUAGCCAGUGGUUUAGGGGCUAAACAUUAACCACAUUGGGGCAGAUCAGCACCACAGGAGCUAUGAGCCGUGAAGAUACACAGGCCUUCGGUGUUCUAAGUUCAAAAGAUCUGUGUGAAACAAGGUAUAACCCAAAUUAGUUGAAAAUGGACAGCAAUACAGUCAAACAUGCCAGAUAAGGAGAGUGCUCCAGCUAAGUACCACAGCUAGUUCUCAAAAGGUAUGAGUAUUUGCCAAGCAACCCAGAAGUACCAGCGGGGCCUGAGCAAUCCUUUGCUUCUUCAUUCAACAAACAUUUAUUGGGUACCCCCUAUACAAGAAGCUACUGUAGGAACACAAUCAAUGAUGAGACUGACACAAAUCCUUUUCAGAAAAAAGAAGGAAUCUCCAUUUAUCAAUAGGUAAAUUAUUAUAAGAAACCAGAUUACUAUAUGCAAAGCUAAAAUGAACUCAAGAUCUACUAUGAUACCAGAGACAGAAGGUAAAACUAGUUUCAUUUUGUGGAGGAAGUUGGAGAAGGAGUGGGCCAUGCCUACCGAAUGAAUCUUGCAUUAAGGCAUAGACAAAUGUAUAGGGUUAAGUUGAGAGAUUGCGAUCAACUACACAGUCUUUUUUGGUCUCCCAAAUAAAUGUGACUCAGUCCUCUGAACACCCUCCAGCAGCAGUUAUUUGCACCUUUCUUACUGUUC
rnacentral:lncRNA from 1 species